ensembl:lncRNA
AAUGUCCUCCUGUGUGAAGAUCAGUGGAUCAGGUGGAUGAUGGCACAACCCGACCAAAGAAGCAGGAGAUUUUAAGCAGAGGAAAACUCUGAAGUUGUUUCAGCAGGACACUUUCAAGAUGAUGCAAGUUGAUACAAAAUACCGAAGACAUCAAAACCAAAAGUAAGAAAAAAAGGGAAGGAGAGCUUGAGAAAAAUGCCUUGAUACAGCUGUGACUGAUUGGAAAUGCAGCACUCAAAGCCCAUUGGAGCCACACAACAGAAACUCUUCCUUUAACUCAUUUCUGUGAGCUGGGAGAAAAAGUGAGUCUCCACAGGGGCUCUGGAAGUAAAUCAAAUCGGUGUGUGUGUGCAUCAGUGCAGACAGAUCUUGGUACCGAGGAUGUGAGUAGUUUUGAAAUGCAUGGCUUCUCCACGCCGGCCACCGGUCAUGUCUUAUUUCCGGAUGAAAGCGAAGAAACCCCCACCCCGCUGUUCUCGCCCUUCCCUUUAAAAGCUGGACGCUGAGGCUUCCCAUCAGAGCAAGGAGGCCCUGCUCCUCUUCAUCUGCGUAAGAGGGAGGGGGUCUCUCUUCUGUGUCCCCCCAUCAAGCUGCCCCCAGCCGGGCCUUUGUCCCGUUCCAGCAUCUUUUCUCCAGUGCUGUCGCUUCAAACAUCUCUCACGAUGCUUUGGAGGACUGUGAACUGUUUCAGCAGGGGAAAGCACAGUCUACUGGAAUGUAUGUGUGAACACACACACACACACACCAUGAAGUGAACACACACCCAGAGAAGUGGGCUGCUUUAGUUGAUUAAUGCUUUGUUAAAUCUUUAUAACAUAAGUUAUGAUUUUAAAAGAAAAAAUAAUAGGGUAGUCACAAAGCUACAAUUAAUCAAAUUCAUUUCAUGAUUCAUUAUUUAAAUUAGAUAAAUUAUAUUUAAAAAAAAAAAAAAAAAUAUAUAUAUAUAUAUAUAUAUAUAUAUAUAUAUAUAUAUAUAUAUAUAUAUAUACACACAUAUAUACAUGUAUACAUAUAUUAUAUAUAUAUUAUAUAUUUUCAUUUUCACUAUUUAAUAUGCAGUAAAAAAAAUA